UGUUUGUCGAUCAGUCCCCAUGUGCUCUUUCAUUAGUUUACGUCUUCCAAUCCAUGUUACAUUAUUCACUCACUCUCUCUCUCUCUCUCUCUCUCUCUCUCUGUGCUUUGUUUAUUGAACACGCUCUCUUAUCUUUUUUCCGUGAUUCUGUCUGCAGAUCAGAGUAGAGCCCUGCACACCCCUCAAAGAUUUAUAAUCAAAUCAAGACUCCCAAAAGGCUAUCGACCCUUUUAGUAGCUUUCCAUCUCCGUUGUGUUCGCUGAUGAAAGAUUGGAUCUUUCCGCGAGAAAUCAUGUUGAUUGCUUCUCCUCCCCUGUUCCACUUUUUGGGGAUUCUUCUUCUUACCCGAUGAACUCGGAAGCAUCUUUUUAUUUUUUUGGGUCUCCGAGCUGUCUUGUUUUCUCUUGUUCUGUCCUUAUCAAGAACUGCACUCUCUCUCUUCACCUCCUGCUUCAGUGUUCCAUCUCUGUGUCUGAAACGUUUGGGGUACCCAUUUCUUUUUGCCACGCCUUCAAGUUUUGAAGGUGGUCUGGUCUCUUCGAAAAUAAGGAAAAAAAAAAAAAAGAUUCUUGAUUUUGGGGACAGUGCAUUUAUGAAAAAUGCAGUAAAUUGCAGGACAUGUCUUAUCCGUUGGUAAUGCUGAACGAACCUUUUCCCGCUGUUUUUGAAGUGCGUUUUGCAAAUUUAGUCCGAAAUGGCAUGGAGCUACUGGAAUGACGUGCUUCAGAUAAUUAUCAUAUUCUUUUUUGCUUAAGAGAGAGAGAGAGAGAGAGAGAUGGAAUCUGGGAGUAGAAUUUACUCAAAUGACGAUUUCCGGAUGGAUGCUAAAUGGCUUAUUGACGCGAAGAAUCUGUUUGUUGGGCCAAGAAUUGGAGAAGGAGCGCACGCCAAAGUCUACGAGGGAAAAUAUAAAAACCAGACGGUUGCCAUUAAAAUCAUCCAUAAAGGGGAGACUCCGGAGGAAAUUGCCAAGAGAGAAGCACGAUUUGCAAGGGAGGUGGCCAUGUUGUCUAGAGUUCAGCACAAAAAUUUGGUCAAGUUUAUUGGAGCCUGCAAGGAACCAAUAAUGGUGAUAGUCACUGAGCUUUUAUCAGGAGGAACUUUACGUAAAUAUUUGCUGAAUAUCCGCCCAAGAUGCUUAGAGACAUGGGUUGCAAUUGGUUUUGCCCUUGAUAUUGCACGUGCAAUGGAAUGCUUGCACUCUCACGGGAUUAUACAUAGAGAUCUCAAACCCGAAAACUUGCUAUUGACUGCUGACCAGAAAACAGUAAAAUUAGCAGAUUUUGGUUUAGCCAGAGAGGAGUCAUUAACGGAGAUGAUGACUGCUGAAACAGGGACUUAUCGUUGGAUGGCUCCAGAGCUAUACAGCACUGUUACAUUAAGGCAGGGAGAGAAGAAGCAUUACAACCAUAAAGUGGAUGCUUAUAGCUUUGCGAUAGUGUUGUGGGAACUUCUACACAACAAAUUGCCUUUUGAAGGCAUGUCAAAUCUUCAGGCAGCUUAUGCAGCUGCGUUCAAGAAUGUGAGGCCCAGUGCUGAUAAUCUUCCGGAGGAAAUGGCUACUAUUCUCACUUCGUGCUGGAAAGAGGAUCCUAAUGAUCGCCCCCACUUCAGCGAAAUAAUCCAAAUGCUCCUUAAUUAUCUAUACACCGUAUCUCCUCCCGAACCAGUCAUUCCUUCGCGAAUCUUCACUUCUGAGAACAGAGUCUUGCCACCGGAAUCACCUGGUACAAGCUCCUUGAUGGCAAGACGUGAUGCCUCGGGAGAAACGCCUAAAGCAAGGGAAAACAAGCCAAAGGGCUGCUUCUUCUGCUUUGACCAAUGUUACUAACUGCACUAGCUAAAGAUAGAAUGGAUGGGAGUCUGGUCCUUCAUGGAGUCAAGACACCUGUAAAAGAAAGGAUCCUAGUUGCUUAUCUAGCUAUGUCAUGGAAGAAACUCGAGUAUUUAGUUUUGGGUAUUGUAUGAUGCUUCAAGCUAAAUGGGAAAUUGUUCAACAUUAUCCGGAGAAGUUCUGCGAGAUGGAUAGGGAAAACCCUGCCUCUCCUUGAAAUCUUUGCGUGUAAACAAGUCUAUUACUACAAAGAUGCAUUUUGCGGUUUUCGCAUUUGGGCGAAAACCAUUGUCCAUGUUGAUCUGUAUGUCCCGUGGUUUUAAUUUUUAGUAGCUUCAAUCUAGCAAAUAAAGUUUAAUAUUUAUUUUUUUCCUGAAAAACUAGUGAUUGACUAGACAGUUUGCCUAGACAUAAUUCUGUC